AGUGAACGCUGGCGGUAGGCCUAAUACAUGCAAGUCGAACGGCAGCACAGUAAGCGUUCGCCUCUACGGGUGGCGAGUGGCGGAUGGGUGAGGAAUACAUCGGCAUCUAAUUUUUCGUGGGGGACAACGUAGGGAAACAUAUGCUAACACAGCAUAUGAUCUACGGGUUAAAGCAGUGGUUCUUCGGACCUUGCGUGACAGUUUGAGCCGAUGUCGGAUUAGCUAGUUGGCGGGGUAAAGGCUCACCAAGGCGACGAUCCGUAGCUGGUCUGAGCGGAUGAUCGGCCACACUGGAACUGAGACACGGUCCAGACUCCUACGGGAGGCAGCAGUGGGGAAUAUUGGACAAUGGGCGAAAGCCUGAUCCAGCCAUGCCGCGUGAGUGAAGAAGGCCUUCGGAUUGUAAAACUCUUUUAUUAGGAAAGAAAAACAGCGUAAGUAAACCCCGCUGUUCUGACGGUACCCAAAGAGUAAGCACCGGCUAACUACGUG
rnacentral:rRNA from 1 species